UACGUAGGAGGCGAGCGUUGUCCGGAAUUACUGGGCGUAAAGCGCGCGUAGGCGGCCCGCCGCGUCGGCCGUGAAAGCCCCCGGCUCACCCGGGGGAGGGCGGCCGAGACGGGCGGGCUUCGAGGGCGGUAGGGGCUGGCGGAACGCCCGGAGUAGCGGUGAAAUGCGUUGAGAUCGGGCAGAACACCAGUGGCGAAGGCGGCCGGCUGGGCCGACCCUGACGCUGAGGCGCGAAAGCCAGGGGAGCGAACGGA
rnacentral:rRNA from 1 species